UGAUAUAUAUAGCACCAACGUUAAUGCAUUGGAUCCCAUCAUAACUCUGCAGUUAAGGGCACUUGGGAUAGAGUAGUAUUGGGAUGGGUGACCUCUCGAGAAGUCCUAGUGUUUCAC
rnacentral:rRNA from 1 species